GACAGAGGGUGCAAACGUUGUUCGGAAUUACUGGGCGUAAAGCGCGUGUAGGCGGCUAUGUAAGUCGGGCGUGAAAUCCCACGGCUCAACCGUGGAAGUGCACCCGAAACUGCGUAGCUAGAGUCCUGGAGAGGAAGGUGGAAUGCUUGGUGUAGAGGUGAAAUUCGUAGAUAUCAAGCGGAACACCGGUGGCGAAGGCGGCCUUCUGGACAGUGACUGACGCUGAGACGCGAAAGCGUGGGGAGCA
rnacentral:rRNA from 1 species